rnacentral:rRNA from 1 species
GACGAACGCUGGCGGCGUGCUUAACACAUGCAAGUCGAGCGGAGCGGCGAACGGGUGCGUUACGCGGGAGUAACUUCCCCCCUCUCUGGGAUAACAGUUGGAAACGGCUGCUAAUACCGGAUAGUGGGGGAUGACGCGGGGCCUAUUAGCUCGUUGGUGGGGUAGUGGCCUACCAAGGCGACGACGGGUAGCCGGCCUGAGAGGGCGACCGGCCACAUUGGGCUGAGAUACGGCCCGAACGCCUACGGGAGGCAGCAGUGGGGAAGAUGGCACAAAGGGGGAAACCCUGAUGCAGCAACGCCGCGUGCGGGAUGACGGCCUUCGGGGUGUAAACCGCUUUCAGCCAUGACGCGGUAGUGGAAGAAGAAGCACCGGCUAACUACGUGCCAGCAGCCGCGGUAAUAC